rnacentral:lncRNA from 1 species
AUUGAGAAAUGCAAAAUGCUAAUCCUAUUCACAAGGCAGAAGAGUUCGAGUGUGUGACGCCCAAGUCAGACCGUCUCGUAAAAUGCAGCACAUCGGUCUGUCCACCGGCUCCCAAAAAACUCAAGCAACGAAAUAAAUUUGCAGUGACAGCACUGACAGAGCGACCUCAUCAAGUUUAUGUACAAGUACCGAAAGAUCUUUCUUCUAUUUUUCUGCUGCGCACUAUCUAAUUCUUGCCACACAAACCACAUGGCCAGUUAUCCAGAAGUAUGAAGCUCCAUAAGGUGAAGGGUUUAAAUUUCACUGAAGACAAAAUGUGAGUGAGCAGAGUGUUAGAGUUGUCUUCCUGAACCAGUUAGCCAGGCAACAUGAUUUGAAUAAGCUGUAAAUCAGUCUGUGGACUUUUUUCUUAUAUUGGGCUUAGUAGUUACUCCCUCUAUUUUAUGUUACAUGUCCACUGAACAAAAAAUUGUUUCAAAUUACUUGUCCAUUUCAACUUUCAAUGGACUGUAGUCAAUAUUUAUAUUUUCAAGAUGAAUUUUAUACUACACCUUACUAAAUUAUAUUUCC